GGUGGAGAAGCAGGGCACGUGCAUCCAUUUCCAGCUCGGCAUUCCCGGCGUCCGGCCGGCCGGCUGCCGCGGCCUUGCCUGGCUGGGUAGUGCGUCGCUCGAUCCGGCCGUGCGCCGGCGGCCGGCCCUUGCAUGCAUGUGCCUUUCUUCUCCACC
rnacentral:pre_miRNA from 1 species